UUUUUUUUUUUUUGGAAUUAAUUCUUAAGACUUAGCUCAAACCAUCUCCAACAACUUGAUAUUUCCCGUGGAGUUAGCAGCAACUAAGGUGGAGGAUGACUGACCACGCCAACACACAGAGGAGAUAAACUGUGCACUGUCGUCCACUUCAUCACCCGAAAGCGGAUCCGUGAUGUUAAAUUUAUAUGACAACGCAGGCAUGGGAAGAGCUUUGUGGUAUACAAAAACCUGCAACCAGAAAACCAAAGACAAAACUACAUUUACCAAUCACUGAACAGGUGAUCAUUCACUGCUGUACCAUAUAACAUACGAGUAAAUUGGCUUAAAAGAUUUUGUGAGGGACAGGAGGAAUAUGACAGAACAAACAUGGGAUGUAACAAACGACGGUAACUCCACCGCAGUAAUUCGACCUUUCGUAAUCAUCACAUAGAGCUGUGAAGGGGGAAGUGCCGGCAACAGAUGUGAACUCAAACUGACUUUUCAGGAACAAAGUAAAUGUGAACCGACCCUUCCAAGACCAGAAAAGGUAAUUAUGACUAGACAUUCUUGAGGCAUUUAGUAGCAUACAAAGCAGAGAAACUUUCAGUGCAAUGCAGAGUUUAAGGAAGAAAAACCAAGGACAAUCAUACAUAACUACAGCAGAAAUCAAAAUUAGAUCGUGUAAAUUGCUGUGCAAAGCAUGGGAUACCUCAUUUGUCUCUGAUCCCGUUGCAAUGUAACCAUCAGAUACAGAUAGGCCAACAAAGUUCUGCAACAAAGAUGUAUCCACAUUAAGGAUGAAAACCAUAGAUGUUUCUAUAAGCAGAAUUUGGGUUUUACCUCAACUUAAUGAUCAAGAUGCAUAUGCAACAAAAUGAAUCAAUGAAUAUGAAAAACUAGAGGGAGAACAGAAGGAGAGGGGGGGGGGUGUGUGUUAGGAGGCUAGGAGCAAUGCAUAUGCACAUUCUUCCUCUCUUUUCUAACAACCUUAUUUUCUUUGCUUAUUUUUUAAUAAUUUCAUUCCAAAUAACAUCAAUUGCUGAUAAAGACCACUCCCAAAACCUCAUCCAGACUUUAUUUUCUCAAUAUAGUUGGAAAAGAAGAUACUGAAUACAAAAGCUAUAUGUAUUUUGCCUCUCACAAUGAACUAAUCAUCUCAACAGGCCUUGGAAGGUAUAAUGAAAAAGAACUUGUAUGCAUUAUAGUAAUUCCACUGCUUAGAUGAGAUGAAAAUUGAAAGAACUGAAAAGAAUGUCCCGUUUGUAACCCUAAUGCCCAGUUUGGGAGAUGAGAUUUGAGCGGAAAAGAAACGAAGGGAAGAGAAAGGUAGCUAUUUCCCACGUUUGAGAGUUUUAGCGAAACAGAAAGGAAAAGAACCCAGCUGAUUUGGAAGGAAGAAGAUCUGCUACAGUUAAAAAAAAUUUUCCAUCCCAAAUCGGCCAGAAAGCAAAGGAAAGCUACGGAAAGGCUACAAAAAAAUUUUUAAAUUGCCCAUUCUAUCCUUGAGAAGCUAUUGAAUGGAAUAUUUAUUGACCAAUGCGUCCAAAAUCAUCUCCUUUCUUUUGUAAACUCCCAAACAACAUUAAAAUCUCCUCUCUUCUUUUCUUAUCGUUUCUUUUCUCUCAUAACUUAACCUUUCUCUUCUUUUCUUUUCUAUCCUGAACUCCCAAACUAGCUUUAAAUAAAGAUCAAUUAUCAAUGAUAGCAAAACUAAAUUUGUUAACACAUUUGCCUGACCUUAUCAUACUUUAUACCAUACAAUUUUAGUUAUAUAUCAAUUUCAAUGAGAAUACCAAAUGAAUUGAAAUGAUAUAGCAGACACUAAGUCAUGAUAUUUCUGUAGGGCCACUUUACUAAACAAAAUGGAAAAACUCAAUACAAAGACAGCAUAGUGGUAUUCAAUCAUCAGAAUUAACCUCUUUAACUGUCCCCAACUUACUCAACGUCCUGACUAAAAGACCAAGCUACAAUUUCUAAAAUGAUACACAAUAUCAAGCAAUAAAACAAAAAGCUCUACCUUCACAUUCAAGUGCCCAGUGAAUGACUGAAGGGGACAAUCAAGAACCCGAGCUGUGCACAUUGACAAGUCCCAGAGCUUCAAUGUGUUAUCUGUAGAUGCAGACACAAGUGUUGUCGAAUCUAUGAACUUAACAUAGCUCACAGUCUUGUUGUGUCCAAUCAACGUGCAGAGAGGCAUCUUAGAAUUGCGUAGAUCAUAAUAGUAUAUCUUAUGGUCUGCUGAUCCAAAUGCAAGGCGACGACUGGAUUCAAAUGGAAACUGAACACAACAGACAUUUGCCUUUGUCUUAAUGGUACCGAUGCUUACUCCCUGCAGUAGCAACCCAUGUAAGAAAAACAACUUAUUACACAUCAAGAACCCAACCUAUACAGCAAUAACAAUUAGAUGACUGUAGUACGUUUAGUUUCAAAGCUGACAUCCACCAAGUGCAAAAAUAGAAUUGCCUGAUUGAUAUUCCAGAGCUUAACAGAACCAUCAUCACUCCCGCUAGCCAGCAAUGUUGGAUCAGCUACUGAGUAGUCAACGGACCAGACACGGCUCUCAUGCUCGCUCAUUUCCAUAAAGAUUUGACUUCUUGUAACGUCCCAUACCUGAAAAUAUCUCAAGGAGACGAGCCAAUUUUUAAUUUUUUCUUAUUCUUAAAAAAAAAAAAAGAGUGGACAGGAGUUCAAGUCUCUUGAUUUACCUGAACCACACCUUCAAAGUUACUGGAAGCAAUCUGGCUCUUAAUAUACCCAUUCCAACAUAUACUGCUUAGCUUUGAUCUGCUAGCCAUUUCAACAACAGGAUAAUGGAUAUCACGGUCUUUGUUUAGAAUCGAAUUAUAUUCAAAGACUUUGAUCUUCUUAUUCACACCAGCAGUUGCAAAAAACUCUCCAUCACGAUCAAAACUCAGGGAGCAUACAAGGUUGGAAGAAUUUAAAAGAUCUCCCUGCUUCAAGUCUGCCUUCACCUUUAACUUGCUAAAUGACAAAUACUUGCACAGACCCUCAAGAAAUGAAUUUAUCCAUCCACUUUGUCUAUCCUCAUUAUAUUGUUCUUUUGAUGACAACUUACUGAGAGAACUUCUUUCAGUCACUACAACUGAUCCUCUUGCAUCGCUACUAAUUGGAGAACUUCUGGCAUAUACUUUUCCAGAUGGUUUGAGAGCCCGCCGCCUAGUUAAAAAGUAAGCUGACUCCAAUUUUCUAAAGUUUUUCAUGAGUCGGGAACUUUUAGAAAGAAUAGUUGCUUGGUUUUCUGGAACAGGAUCAUCAAGUUCCUCCGCAUUAUGGGUAUAAAGCCCAGGCCUGCAUCGUUUUCUCGACCCUGAGCUACCAGAAUCACCCUCAUCUACUGUAUUGGAUGAAGGGGGCCCUGAAGCUGAAUCCUUCGCCAGGUCUAUGCUUAUGCCUCCUUUUAUCCUAAGGGCAGUUUGCAAUUUUGUGACUUCUUCUAUAUCAGAAGUCAAAAAGGACACCAUUUCAUGCAAGUGAUCUGCUGCAUCCUGUUUCCUUUGCUUUAAUAGUAACAAAAAUUCCAGCAACAGCUCUUGUUCAUCUAUUUUUUCUCGAAGUUCUAUUGCUGCCUCACGCUCCUCAAUGUUGUCUCUUGGUUCAUUUAGAAAUUCGCUUUGCAACAACGCCCUGCAUCAUGUGAUUGAGUAUGGAAACGAGACAAAUAACCAAUUAUUGAAAGCAUAAAAUGUUGGGGAGAACCCAUCCAAAGGCACAAAGACAACCAAGGGAUGUACUUUGCAAUAAAAGCCAGGAGAGGUAGCAUCUCAAGUCUUGAGGGUAGCCUUAAAAUCUUAGUUACUAGCGUAGAAAUAGCCUGAGACUAAGUGGUAACAGUAGUGCUCAUGCACUUCUGAAUUACAAGCUUAAGCAUCAGUCAGACCAUAAAUUUAUGCUAGUGGCCUGUCCCUCUCCUUUCUCUAAAUCUUUUGGCAAUGUCUGAGGACUAAUACACAUCCAAAGCAGCAAAAUGCAACAGAAGGAAAGAACAAACUACUGCAAGACAUCACAAAAAUUUUAGUGAGAGAUUAAAGGUACGUUUCAAGUCCAGAAGCCAUAAUUGGCUUCACACUCUUCCAGGAAACCCAAUAUGACAUGUACUAGGGUUUCUGAAAAAGCAGAUUUUUGUAUGACGAGUCCAUUAGCACUAUAGAACACAACAUACUAAGAGUAUCCAUAUAUAUCCUUUUUAGAAGUUGGCUAUUAUGGCGGAUUACUUCAACCAGCAGAGAACAAAAACAUCUUUGGAACAGGUGAAGUUGAAAUGGUAAAAGUGCAGUAAAUCCCACCCCAUUUUUGGCCGACUACUUGGCUCAGGAUGCAGCAACCAUAGGCAAAAUGAUGCUUCUUUAGGCCACUUCAAAAGCAACUGAGGAGGGAGAACACGAUGUCUCAGACUAGACAUAGUUGCGCCUUUCUCUUCCACCGAGCUAAAUGUGCAGAACAACUGUUCAUCAGCAAAAUAUUUAUCAGAGAGGAAAGAGGAUCUCGGUAACUGAUACUAACCUCAAAGAGAAGAACCCCCAGUCGAUAAAUGUCUGAAGCACUGGAACUGGGGCCACCAGAAACUUCUUCUGGACUACUGUACCAAUUGGUUUCCAUCAACAAUAUAUGUUUCAUUGGGAAGGAAUGCUUCCUUUCUUCCGUCUGGUCAUCAUUUGGUGCAACCUCAGCCUGUCCGGCGCUUGACCUAAUGCAACUUGUUUCAGAUACUAUUCGAGAUGCAUUUAGGGGAUUCAUCUCAAGUUGCAAGCUUUCAGUAGCUAGCUGACUUCCUCGUUGGGGCAAGUCUGAAGGCAAAGGCGAAGACGCACCUUUAAACUCAGCCGUCUGGCUGUUUGUUCCUUCCUCAAACGAAUCUGAACCCGAAUCCGAGCAAGAAGCAGAUUCAAUGAAAGACACACGGUUAAGUGAGGACAUGACAAAGCAUGAGGGCCGCACAUUAUGGAGGAUUAUUCCCUGAGAAUGAGCCAGGUUAACUAUAUCUACAAUUUGAGUAAAUAUGUGUAAGCAUUCAAGAGCAUCAACAGUUCUUUCUGGGUUGUCCAA